CAGUCGAACGAGAGAAGAGAAGCUUGCUUUUCUGAUCUAGUGGCGGACGGCCGAUUAACACGUGAGCAACCUGCCUUUCAGAGGGGGAUACCGAUUGGAAACGAUCGUUAAUACCGCAUAACAUAAUUGAACCGCAUGAUUUGAUUAUCAAAGAUUUAUCGCUGAAAGAUGAGCUCGCGUCUGAUUAGCUAGUUGGUAAGGUAACGGCUUACCAAGGCGACGAUCAGUAGCCGGACUGAGAGGUUGAUCGGCCACAUUGGGACUGAGACACGGCCCAGACUCCUACGGGAGGCAGCAGUGGGGAAUAUUGCACAAUGGAGGAAACUCUGAUGCAGCGAUGCCGCGUGAGGGAAGAAGGUUUUAGGAUUGUAAACCUCUGUCUUCAGGGACGAAAAAAGACGGUACCUGAGGAGGAAGCUCCGGCUAACUACGUGCCAGCAGCCGCGGUAAUACGUAGGGAGCGAGCGUUGUCCGGAAUUACUGGGUGUAAAGGGAGCGUAGGCGGGAUCGCAAGUCAGAUGUGAAAACUAUGGGCUUAACCCAUAAACUGCAUUUGAAACUGUGGUUCUUGAGUGAAGUAGAGGUAAGCGGAAUUCCUAGUGUAGCGGUGAAAUGCGUAGAUAUUAGGAGGAACAUCAGUGGCGAAGGCGGCUUACUGGGCUUUAACUGACGCUGAGGCUCGAAAGCGUGGGGAGCAAACAGGAUUAGAUACCCUGGUAGUCCACGCCGUAAACGAUGAUUACUAGGUGUGGGGGGACUGACCCCUUCCGUGCCGCAGCAAACGCAAUAAGUAAUCCACCUGGGGAGUACGACCGCAAG
rnacentral:rRNA from 1 species